rnacentral:rRNA from 1 species
GACGGAGGAUGCAAGUGUUAUCCGGAAUCACUGGGCGUAAAGCGUCUGUAGGUGGUUUAAAAAGUCCACUGUUAAAAAUUGAAGCUUAACUUCAAAGAUGCCGUGGAAACUUUUAAACUUGAGUAUGAUAGGGGUAGAGGGAAUUUCCAGUGGAGCGGUGAAAUGCGUAGAUAUUGGAAAGACCACCGAUGGCGAAGGCACUCUACUGGGCCAUGACUGACACUGAGAGACGAAAGCUAGGGGAGCAAAUGGG